AUGCAUGCAUCACGUAUUCAUGAAAGACCAAUUGUGAGCUGGCUAUGGUCUGCUGGAUGUCGUGUUUUUGGACCAUCCUCAAACUCCUCUCUGGUCAGUCAAACCCUUCAGGACGUUGCACAGGUAGUGUUAAUCAACAACACCUAUUUUAUUUCCCUUAAUAAAUGUACAAUGAGAGGAGUAGUACUGGAGGGAGAUCAAUUCACAUAUGUAAUAUUGAGGCACUAA
rnacentral:rRNA from 1 species